UGUCAAUGUGCUUAGUGAAAUUCAGCUU
rnacentral:piRNA from 1 species